rnacentral:rRNA from 1 species
CCUACGGGUGGCAGCAGUGAGGAAUAUUGGUCAAUGGACGAGAGUCUGAACCAGCCAAGUAGCGUGAAGGAUGACUGCCCUAUGGGUUGUAAACUUCUUUUAUAAAGGAAUAAAACGAGGCACGUGUGCCUUUUUGCAUGUACUUUAUGAAUAAGGAUCGGCUAACUCCGUGCCAGCAGCCGCGGUAAUACGGAGGAUGCGAGCGUUAUCCGGAUUUAUUGGGUUUAAAGGGAGCGUAGAUGGGUUGUUAAGUCAGUUGUGAAAGUUUGCGGCUCAACCGUAAAAUUGCAAUUGAUACUGGCAGUCGUGAGUACAGUUGAGGUAGGCGGAAUUCGUGGUGUAGCGGUGAAAUGCUUAGAUAUCACGAAGAACCCCGAUUGCGAAGGCAGCUUACUAAACUGUGACUGACAUUGAUGCUCGAAAGUGUGGGUAUCAAACAGGAUUAGAUACCCGGGUAGUC